rnacentral:rRNA from 1 species
AUUGAACGCUGGCGGCAUGCUUUACACAUGCAAGUCGAGCGGCAGCGCGGGGGCAACCUUGGCGGCGAGCGGCGAACGGGUGAGUAAUGCAUCGGAACGUAUCCUGUAGUGGGGAAUAACUCACCGAAAGGUGAGCUAAUACCGCAUAAGCUCUGAGGAGGGAAAAGCGGGGGGACCGAAAAGGCCUCGCGCUGCAGGAGCGGCCGAUGUCCGAUUAGCUAGUUGGUGAGGUAAAAGGCUCACCAAGGCGACGAUCGGUAGCUGGUCUGAGAGGAUGAUCAGCCACACUGGGACUGAGACACGGCCCAGACUCCUACGGGAGGCAGCAGUGGGGAAUUUUGGACAAUGGGGGAAACCCUGAUCCAGCCAUGCCGCGUGAGUGAAGAAGGCCUUCGGGUUGUAAAGG